rnacentral:tRNA from 1 species
GGGCCGGUGGCCGAGUGGACAAUGGCAGCAGACUGUAAAUCUGCCGGCGUAAUGCCUACGGUGGUUCGAAUCCAUCCCGGCCCA